AGUGAACGCUGGCGGUAGGCCUAACACAUGCAAGUCGAACGGCAGCACAGUAAGAGCUUGCUCUUACGGGUGGCGAGUGGCGGACGGGUGAGGAAUACAUCGGAAUCUACUUUUUCGUGGGGGAUAACGUAGGGAAACUUACGCUAAUACCGCAUACGACCUACGGGUGAAAGCAGGGGAUCUUCGGACCUUGCGCGAUUGUAUGAGCCGAUGUCGGAUUAGCUAGUUGGCGGGGUAAAGGCCCACCAAGGCGACGAUCCGUAGCUGGUCUGAGAGGAUGAUCAGCAACACUGGAACUAGGACACGGUCCAGAAUCCUACGGGAGGCAGCAGUGGGAAAUAUUGGACAAGGGGCGGAGGCCUGUUCCAGCCAUACCGCGUGGGUGAAGAAGGCCUUCGGGUUGUAAAGCCCUUUUGUUGGGAAAGAAAAGCAGCAGGUUAAUACCCCGCUGUUCGAACGGUACCGAAAGAAUAAGCACCGGCUAACUUCGU
rnacentral:rRNA from 1 species